CUGCUGCCUUCCGUAGGAGUUUGGGCCGUGUCUCAGUCCCAAUGUGGCCGUCCACCCUCUCAGGCCGACUACUGAUCGUCGCCUUGGUGGGCCCCUACCCCGCCAACAAGCUAAUCAGACGCGGGUCCAUCUUACACCACCGGAGUUUUUCACACCGGGCCAUGCGGCCCUGUGCGCUUAUGCGGUAUUAGCACCUGUUUCCAGGUGUUAUCCCCCUGUGUAAGGCAGGUUACCCACGCGUUACUCACCCGUCCGCACUCGAAUG
rnacentral:rRNA from 1 species